CAGUCGCCGCGGGAACACGUAGGGUGCAAGCGUUAAUCGGAAUUACUGGGCGUAAAGCGUGCGCAGGCGGUGAUGUAAGACAGUUGUGAAAUCCCCGGGCUCAACCUGGGAACUGCAUCUGUGACUGCAUCGCUGGAGUGCGGCAGAGGGGGAUGGAAUUCCGCGUGUAGCAGUGAAAUGCGUAGAUAUGCGGAGGAACACCGAUGGCGAAGGCAAUCCCCUGGGCCUGCACUGACGCUCAUGCACGAAAGCGUGGGGAGCAAACAGGAUUAGAUACCCGGGUAGUCCCUGUCUCUUAUAC
rnacentral:rRNA from 1 species